AAAGUCGUAACAAGGUUUCCGUAGGUGAACCUGCGGAAGGAUCAUUAGUAUUUAAACCAUUCUGCCUAACAGCAGAGGCCGGGGCGACUUCAUUGGAGCCCUUAGGCUUUUUUGGUAUUACCAUAACUCUCCUGUGUACCUAUUACUUGUUGCUUCCCUGGAGCAAUCCAGGGAAGGCAUACAUAUACUCUGCUUAUUGCAGUCAGUCUGAUACUGUUUAUUCAUAAACGUUAAAACUUUCAACAACGGAUCUCUUGGUUCUC
rnacentral:misc_RNA from 1 species